rnacentral:rRNA from 1 species
AAAGGCAGCAGUAGAGAUCUUGUGCAAUCAAACGAAAGUAUGACACAGAGAGGACACAUUUAAUUAAGCCCGUCAAAUUAAGUGCCAGCCGACGCGGUUAAACUUAAGGGCUGGUCUUUAUAAGUAAAAAGGCGUAAAGGAUGUGUAGGCCAAGAAAUAAUCAAAGUAGGUAAAUGGAAUUUUUCUGGAGCGGUAGAAUGUGAGGAUAGAAAAUAGAACCCCUAAGGUAAAAACUAUUUACCACAAGGUAGGCUGAAACAUGAGAGUGUGGGAAGCAAACAGGAUUAGAGACCCUGGUAGUCCACACUGUAAACUUUGAAGAUGAUGCUUAGCAGACCCGAAAGGUAAAAUCUUCCGCCUGAGUAGUACGAUCGCAAGAUUAAAAUUCAAAAACUUUGGCUGUUCACUAUUUCGAUUAGAGGAGCGUGUAGUUUAAUUCGAUGGUCCGCGUGUUACCUUACCCCAACUUGAAUCUGUGACCGGUAUUGCAUGGCCGUCGUAAGUUCGUGUAUUAAGCUAGAAGGGACCCAACCCGGGCAUUUGCCCGGAGGAAGUCAGGUCUUAUGAUCCGAAUGUUGGGGGACUUUAUGCGCUACAUUUUCUUAUAUAAUGGGAAACCUGAAAGGUGAGCCUCUAAAGUAAGAGUUCGGAAGGUCGCUGUAAGACGACUGGAAGUUGGAUUUAAUAGUAAUCGGAAAGUAGGGCGUUCCGGUGAAUUGGUACAAGUGUUAGCACAAAUUGCCCGUCACCUUUACCUAGAAUGGUUAUUCGGACGUCUUCGGUGAUUACGAAUGCCUACGAGGUAAAGCAAGUCGUAACAUAGUA